GAAAGUAAGCAAGGGCAGACGGUGGAUGCCUUGGCUCUCGGAGGCGAUGAAGGACGUGAUAAGCUGCGAUAAGCUUGGGGUAGGUGCAAAUAACCUUUGAUCCCAAGAUUUCCGAAUGGGGCAACCCGGCUGGUAGAAGGCCAGUCAUUCCGUAAGGAAGGCGAACGUGGGGAACUGAAACAUCUAAGUACCCAUAGGAGAAGAAAACAAAAGUGAUUCCGCAAGUAGUGGCGAGCGAACGCGGAACAGCCCAAACCGAUGAUGUUUAGGCAUUGUCGGGGUAGUAGGACCACGUUGUGGCAAGAGAUUAAUGAAGUAGAACGUUUUGGAACAAACGGCCGUAGACGGUGAAAGCCCAGUAUACGACUCUUUAACGAAGCCUAGUGGAAUCCUGAGUAGCGCGGAGCACGAGAAAUUCUGUGUGAAUCAGCGGGGCCCAUCCCGUAAGGCUAAAUACUCCCGAGAGACCGAUAGCGAACCAGUACUGUGAAGGAAAGGUGAAAAGCACCUCGAACAGAGGAGUGAAAUAGUCCCUGAAACCGUCUGCCUACAAGCGGUCGGAGCAACGUAAGUUGUGACGGCGUGCCUUUUGCAUAAUGAACCUACGAGUUACUUUCUCCGGCAAGGUUAAGGGCUUCAGGCCCGGAGCCGAAGCGAAAGCGAGUCUUAAUAGGGCGUGAUAGUCGGAGUGAGUAGACGCGAAACCAAGUGAUCUACCCUUGGUCAGGAUGAAGGUUGGGUAACACCAACUGGAGGUCCGAAUGGGUAUACGUUGAAAAGUGUUCCAAUGAACUGAGGGUAGGGGUGAAAGGCUAAUCAAACUUGGAGAUAGCUCGUACUCCCCGAAAUGCAUUUAGGUGCAGCCUUUAUUUAGUAUAGCAUGAGGUAGAGCGACUGAUUGGAUGCGAGGGCUUCACCGCCUAUCAAGUCCAGAUAAACUCCGAAUGCGUGCUAUAUAUUGAUAAGGAGUGAGGGCGCGGGUGCUAAGGUCCGCGUCCGAGAGGAGAAGAAUCCAGACCAUCAGCUAAGGUCCCCAAAUAACAGUUAAGUUGAACUAACGAAGUCGGACUGCAGAGACAGCUAGGAUGUUGGCUUGGAAGCAGCCAUUCAUUUAAAGAGUGCGUAACAGCUCACUAGUCGAGGAGUCCGGCGUGGAUAAUACUCGGGCAUAAACUGUUUACCGAAGCUAUGGAUGUAGAAAUACAUGGUAGGGGAGCAUUCCAACGGCGUCGAAGGUGAAGGAUGACCUUUGCUGGAGCUUUUGGAAACGCAAAUGUAGGUAUAAGUAACGAUAAAGGAGGUGAGAAACCUCCUCGCCGAAAGACUAAGGUUUCCUGAUCAACGUUAAUCGGAUCAGGGUAAGUCGGGACCUAAGGUUAAGCCGAACGGCGAUACCGAUGGAAGAAUGGUUUAAUAUUCCCAUACUACUUUAUGGAGCGAUGUGGAGACGGAGAAGUGAAAGUCCUGCCAUCUGACGGAAUAGGUGGUUGAAGAGUGUAGAUGUAGAUUCCUGUAGGCAAAUCCGCAGGGAGAGUCGACCUUGACAGUAUGCCGCGUGCUUGCACAAGGCAAAAUGGACGUAAUCAGGCUCCCAAGAAAAUCCGCUAAGCAUAUUCAUAAAGUACCCGUACCGUAAACGGACACACGUAGUUGGGUUGAAAAUACUGAGGCGCUCGAGUGAUUCACGGUUAAGGAACUAGGCAAAUUGACCCUGUAACUUCGGGAUAAAGGGUCCCUACUGAGAGGUAGGGCGCAGAGAAUAGGUCCAGGCAACUGUUUAACAAAAACACAUGGCUGUGCGAAAUAGAAAUAUGAAGUAUACAGCCUGACACCUGCCCGGUGCUGGAAGGUUAAGAGGAGAGCUCAUCGCAAGAGAAGGCUUGAAUUGAAGCCCCAGUAAACGGCGGCCGUAACUAUAACGGUCCUAAGGUAGCGAAAUUCCUUGUCGGGUAAGUUC
rnacentral:rRNA from 1 species